GGAAUAUAAUUCUUACAGUAAUUGUCACUUGACAAAGACGAGAAUGGAAGACGAUCUUCUACCGAGGAUCUGAAAUCUGAAUGUUUCUGUUUAUCUGUAAAGAGAAAAAAAUGACGUGAAUUCAAAAGAAUGAAUAGGAACUUUAAAGCACUUGGAUGUUUUCACACGUCCCAUCUUAAUUUCUGUUUUGGUUUGUCAGUCGGCCUGGUGAUUUCAUUUCUCAUCGCUAGUUUUUCCUCCCUUCAAACACCCCUUAUUUUGACCCGGAAGUAUGCAGCAGAAAAAUUCGAAAGCUAUCUCUCCUCCAGGUCAUUACAGGAAGUGGCCAAAACGUACGACGAAAUGCACGAGGACAUGGACAGACGACUCUCUCGGGAUGACAUCAGAGGGGUGGAUUUUAAUGAUGAACACAAACAUCAUGAUAAUGACAAUGUUGCAAGAAAAUUGGCUGACAAAAUUCGGGUUUUGUGCUGGAUAAUGACAGGGCCACAAAAUCUUGAGAAGAAAGCUAUACACGUGAAGAAAACCUGGGGCAAACGAUGCACCAAACUGAUAUUUUUCAGUUCUGUUACAAAUCACACUUUUCCCACGAUUGGACUUAAUAUCUCAGAGGGCCGUGAACAUCUUACAGGAAAAACAAUGCGAGCAUUCAAAUAUGUCUUCGACCACUAUUUUGAUGAAGCCGAUUGGUUUAUGAAAGCGGAUGAUGACACAUACUUUAUAAUGGAAAAUCUCCGAUAUUUCCUCUCGUCACGUGACAAAAUGGAACCUGUUUAUUUUGGUCACCAUUUUAAAACUAUAGUUCGACAGGGGUAUUACAGUGGCGGCGCAGGGUAUAUUCUCAGCAAGGAGACAUUAAGAAGAUUAGGAACAACUGGCCAAGAUCCAAAAUUUUGUAGGCAAGACGGCGGCGCUGAGGACGCCGAACUGGGAAAAUGCAUGCAAAACCUCGGGGUUAAAACAGCAAAUUCAACGGAUGCUCUUGGAAGAAGCCGAUUUCAUUGCUUUGAUCCAGAAACCCAUCUAAUGGGAGGAUAUCCAAAUUGGUACUAUAAGUAUGACGCCAAUGGAGCUAAAAAGGGGCUAGAUAAUAUCAGCGAUUAUGCUAUUUCUUUCCACUACGUCGGUCCCCGUAAAAUGUACGGACUAGAAUACUUCAUCUAUCAUUUACGACCAUAUGGUAUAUUUAAUGGGCUACAAAAUUUAAACUGACCAAAGAUUAUUAUAGCAAUCUUAUUUAGAAAUGAUACUCUUUUGGUUUAUGGCUUGCGAAAUUUUUUAAAUCGAUCAUAGUUAGUAUAAUAUAUGAAAUUUGAAAAAAUUGUAAAUGUUUCUUUCUCAUAAUAUUGUUUGAUUUAAAACCUCUAUAAGUGACGCAGGAGAUGGGCGAACAAGGCCUGCAAUAUAUCUAUAGCUUCAAAUGUAUAAAAGUCAUAUUCAAUUUGUGAAUUCAGUAUUUAGAGUAAAGUUCUCAUUAUUAAAAGGUAUGAAAUUAUAACAAACAGAACUGAGGAAAUCUCUUGACAAAAACCAUUCUCUGAUUUAAAAAAAAAUGUUAUUCUUGGGGUUGAACCCAUGCAUGAAAAUCCUGAGCAUCAGUUUUUUUCCCCUUAAAGACAUUCUACCUAUUACGCUAUACAUGUACAGCUUAUGACAAACAGCGGCAUUCAAAUAAUGUUUGUGAUAUGACCCUUGACUAAAUGGACUAAAUAUUUCUCGGAAAGAUACGAAUGUUGUGUCAUAAAAAUGCAUUUUUAAUGUACAGUUGGACUUUGCUCUUUGUUUUUUGUUAACCGAAAAGUGUAUAUUUUUUGGCAUACUUUGAGUAUAAUCUUCCAAAAAAAUGUAGCCAAUUCCCACUCAUAGAGAAAAAUAGUAAUAUAGAAUGAAGGAAUGAUCAUUUUGCGCCCUUUGGUGUUUUUCAAAGAUGAAUAAUUUCAACAUUGUUGCAAAUUAUGGAGAUUUGACAAAAAGUAUACGUUAAUGUUAAAUGAAAUAUAAAAAAAAAUGUCAUUAUUUAGAUUUAAUUUUUUAAUUUUCAUAUUUGUCGCACAAAAGGCAUUUUGCUCGCCUGUUUGCCCAUCUUUUUUCCGAAGUGUUCAGUAUCCGGCAUUUGGGUGGGAAAUGACGUUUAAGUGGUUGUGGAUCCUUUUGCAUUCUUCUCUCUCUCUUACCUUGAGUAAAAUCUGAUGCCUUUCCUGUUAUACCCUUCCUUUUACUUCUACCGUCCUGUCUUCUGUGUGCACAUAUCUAUCAAAGACAUUUAAAUGCAGGGUGUGGAGAGCAUCAGUGACUAUUCCAUUUCAUUUCAUUAUAUUAAGCCAGAGAGCAUGUACUCCCUAGAAUUUUACGUGUACCAC